rnacentral:rRNA from 1 species
ACUCCUACGGGAGGCAGCAGUGAGGAAUAUUGGUCAAUGGGGCAGCAAAGCCUGAACCAGCCCAUGUCGCGUGCAGGAAGACUGCCCUAUGGGUUGUAAACUGCUUUUUAUACGGGAAUAAUUGCCCUACGUGUAGGGAGUUGCAUGUACCUGUAUUGAAUAAGCACCGGCUAACUCCGUGCCAGCAGCCGCGGUAAUACGGAGGGUGCAAGCGUUAUCCGGAUUUAUUGGGUUUAAAGGGUGCGUAGGUGGAAGUAUAAGUCAGUGGUGAAGUUUGCCGCUUAACGGUAAAAUUGCCAUUGAAAGCUGUAUUU